GCGUCAGUCCGUGUCGGUUUGACUGGUGGAUCCACCUCAGCUCCGACGCACACCGAUGGGAGGGACUUCCGUAUUAAGAUUCACUGUGAUUGGAUGUUUGCACUAAGCUCAUCUCUGUAUGGCUAAUUUUCGUUUUAUUCCCUUUGGCGCGACGAUGGCUAGUUUUCAUAUGCAACCUAAAAAUCCAGCGGGAAACGCUUCAUAACUGAGUCCAAUGCACUAUAAGAGAAUGCCUCUUGGGAUGAAGUUGCGCACUCAUACAGAGGGAAAACAAACUAAAAAGAAGACUCUGAGGCUGAUUAAAUGGCUGCAAAAGAAACACCUUCUAAAGAAGAAGCUGAGAUGCCCUGUUUGCCACCAUAAGAUGAAAAUGAUAUCUGUGGUGAAGAAAGACCAAUUUAUGUGGUGCUGCAAAAGAGCAAGUCAUAGAAAAGUCUCCAGAACAAUUAGAACUGGCUCCCUCUUUGAGAAAUCAAAAUCUUCUCUUUUCAGUUGGAUGAAGUUCAUCUACAGAUUUUCACAAGGGCUCAGGCUCAGGCAGAUAGAUAUGAUUGAUGAUGAUGUGGCUGGCAGCUCCAAAACAUUAAGUGCCAUGGCAAAGCGUAUUCGACAAGUCUGCAUCAGUGCAAUGGAAAGACACGGAGUAAAUAAAGGGCACUGUCUUGGUGGUCACAAAGAAUUUGUGGUUAUGGAUGAAAGCUGUCUCCGUCAUCAGCGAAAGGUUGUAAACUCUCAGACCCCUUUGUUAUUAUCAGUCCAGAUCUGA
rnacentral:lncRNA from 1 species